GCCGUUCCCAGGAGGGCACCUCGCCGGCCGUCGGCCGCCGUUCCCAGGAGCACCUUGCCGGCAAGAUCAAGCUUGCCCAGUACCGCCUCCAUUCUUCCCCGCGUCGCCAGCAAGGUCCAGUUCGCCCAGGCCCAGAGGAGAAGGCCAGGAGCUCCUCUUACGCGCGAGCUCCUCCAGGCUCUCCCCUGGCAACAGCCGUACAUCCUCAACUGUAGCUCCCGGUCUCAGCAGCAGUUGAUCAUCAACAGAAGCAAUAACAACAGAUCAUCAACAAAACCAAUAAGAACAGAUCAUUAGCCCUCAAUAAAAGCAACAAGAGCAGAUCCUCGACAACAACAGUAACAAAUCGUUGGCUCAAUUGAAAUCAUGGUAGUUCCAAACCUCAAUUUCACUCCACCUGAAGAAGCCAAUGAAGAACCUGAAGAACAAGGCAACAAUGCUGGUCAAAAUGAGGUAUAAUUUCUUCUGAUCUUGUAUCAAAUUAUGCUUCAGAUAACAAAGAAGAAAGGGAUUGCUAAAAUUGAAUGGUGCAUAAGAUCCCAAGCCCUCUACAGCCAGAACCGUCACUUCAAUUUGUAUGAAGAAAUAUCAUGCAAAACAGUUGUUGAUCCGUAGAUGUCCACAUGGUAUCCUUGUCAGGAAGGAUAACAAACUGCAAUGGGUGUGAUUCACAGCUCGUGUAGAAAUAUCCAGUAGGAAAAAAAAUCAAAAUGAAGUGACAACAUGUAUGUGUGUGUAAAUAUUCAUAUACUCUCACCAGUUUAUGUCCUAGUUAGCUUAUGUUUAGUUGUGCAACCAGUGUUGUUGUAGGCUUCUUCAUCAGGGCCUGUUGCUGGUAAAAAUACUGAAGAUUCUGACGAAACUGAACCACGACGAGUUCAAUACUUACUAACGAACUGAACGUGUGCAUGUGUGAGCAUGUCCAUGUCUUGGCUCAGUUUGAGAUUAAUUAGAUUUGGCCAUUGUGGGAGCUCGUGGGAUAGCGCAAUUUCAACUCAUAAAGCGGAAACAUAGCUGCGGAGGAAUGGACGUGGGAUGGCACAGCCGAAAUACCCGCACAAAUAGAGAAAAAUGCAGAAAACUUGCAAUCAGUCGCCUCGAGGUUGCCGCUAUUUUUACAUUUCCAGCACAAAUAGAGUCCAAGUUUACAUUUCCAGCAAACUUUGGUUGUUUACAUUUCCAGCAACCAAUUUUUAAUAUUCUUGCAAUAAUUAACUUCAUUAUUCUAUUGCUAUUGUAGGAGUACAGAGUCAAAGGAAUUGGCUCACUGAUGCACAGAGAUAUGCCGCUUACAUGUCCUUGGAAACCCUCCAUAAGAGUAGAGGAGGCAGGUUUAAGAGAAGUGAUAAGAAGGAGGUGGCUGCACUAUUUGGAGCACAUGUUCGAGUUAUUCAAAGAAUAUGGGAGACGGCAAUGAUACAGAAAGGCCUUGGUCAGGAGGUGGAUGUUUCAAACAAAAGAAAGGGAAAUUGUGGGAGGAAACCUUAUGAUGAUAUCCUAUCUCUCAUUCCCACAAUUCCCUUAAACAAGAGGUCAACUAUUCGAUCACUAGCCAAGGCACUCGGUGUAAGCCCUACUACACUAUACAAGAAGUUCAAGCUGAAAAAGAUAAGGAGACACUCGAACAGUGUAAAACCGUUACUGACAGAGAAACAUAAGAGAGAAAGGGUGGAGUUUUGCCUCUCCAUGCUAGAUGAGGCAACAUUAGGAGAUGUAAGCCCAAGUUUCAGGAGUAUGCACAAUAUUGUGCACAUUGAUGAGAAAUGGUUCUGCAUGACAAAGAAAAAAAGAAACUACUAUCUGCUACCUGAUGAAGAGGACCCGGAGAGACCUGUUAAAAACUCUAUUUGGAAAGUGAUGUUUCUCACAGCAGUAGCAAGACCACGGUUUGAUGAAGAUGGAAACAUGACAUUUUCCGGGAAAAUUGGGGUUUGGCCAUUCGUGAGAGUGACUGCAGCAGCAAAAAGAAGCAAGAAUAGGGAAAAGGGGACAUUGGAAACAAAGUCUAUCAUAGUGACGAGGGAAGUGAUGAGAGAGUACAUUAUACAAAAGGUUGUACCAGCAAUUCAAGCAUUGUGGCCUCAAGAUGAUGCUGGACAGCCCAUUUUUAUCCAGCAAGAUAACGCGAGAACACAUAUCCUACCUAAUGAUCAAGCAUUCGUAGAAGCUGUGGACGAAAGUGGCCUGGACAUUAGAAUAAUGUAUCAGCCUCCAAAUUCUCCGGACAUGAACGCCCUGGAUCUUGGGUUCUUCAGCUCGAUUCAGUCGCUAACGGACUGCAAAAGUCCAAAAACUAUUCCAGAGCUGAUUAAAGGUGUUCAAGAGGAGUUUGAUGGAUAUGAAGUUGCAAAACUUAACAGAGUAUUCAUAACUCUGCAGACUUGCAUGGUCGAAGUAAUGAAGAAUGGUGGAGCCAAUAAAUACAAAAUCCCACAUAUGAACAAGGAAAGGCUAGAAAGGCUACGAUUGCUACCGCCCAGGGUCUCAGUUCCUCCUGAAGUGUAUGCAAUGGCACUAGAGAUGCUAGAACACUGAUCCUAAUCCAGUUUGUUGUGUAUUCUGUGUGUAUUUGUAUAUUCCAUGUGAUUAUUGUUUCCAAAAGAUUAUGUACUCCAACUUAUAUUUAUUGUUGCCACACACUAUAUAUUGUGCUAUAUAUUGCUAUAUAGUCCAGCUUAUACUUGGAAUUCAAAACAGAAUCAUACUGGAGCUCAAAAACAGAGAAGCUCUUCUUGAGAUGACCAAUUGAUUCAGUGUACAAGCAUUGGUACUUCGGUAGGAUUGUGCUUGUAACUGCAUUGGUAGGAUAAGAGCACAUUAUUUUCUCUUUUCUCUAGGUAAAAGCUACUCGAACAUAGACUAUCUUUCUCACAGCAAGGUUGACUAAAUUGUAAAGGUUUGUUGAAACUGAACAUAUGUGUGAGAGCAUGAGUACUAAAACUGAACUCUGUUGAUUUAACCACAUCUAGUGCAUAACCACAUCUACUCCACAUUUGGCAGAUAGUUGGAGUACAGAUAAUUGGGCGAGGUUGGUCAACGUAGACUGACCUUGCAAUCCGACGAACAUGAGCGCGAUGAAGGGCCUCAAGUUUCAGUGCGCCGCUGCUGCCUCCUUUCCGGCCAGAUCCGGCCGUCCUUAGUGUUGCCGCUCGCCGGUGUGGCCAUUGACCUCAUCCCUGGUGCGCAGCUGGCUGUGGCCGCGCUCCUCGUAGAGCAAGGAGAUGCUCGGCUGCGAGGAGGCGGAGCCCGUGGACUUGCUGGUUGUUUGCCCCCCCGCCCCGGAGUCAUCUGACUGGCUCGUGCUCACCGUCGACCCCGUGGCUGUUGUUGUGGUGGUCAUGGUCGUGGCCGGGGCCGAGGCCGACGACCCCCGCCUCCCGCUCUUGGACCCCUCUUCUUGAUCCACACGAGACAGCUCAUCUCUCGCCGCCUCGAGCGUGCUCCGUUGACGGUGAGCCGCCGCGCCAGCCAAGAAACAGGCCUCCUCGCGGACAGUGCGUCCCAGGGGAGGAGCGAGCAGGAGAGAGCAGGGUGGCCGUGCAAGGCUGGCCCGUGCUUUGUACUGGUCCACGCGCCGGCAUCAUGUCCGUCGUUCCUGCAGAUCCAGCGGAUAAAAAUGUGAGCUUUGACCUCGAAAGGACUGCGGGAGAAAACCUGCGGUGGGGAGCGAGAGGAAGAUGCCGACGGAGAGAGGGAGGUAGGGGCGGCAGUGAUACGGAGCCAUGGAUGGGCGGCGACUGGGGCCGCGGAGGGCGGCGACCCCGGCGGCAGAGAGGAGCGCGAGAGUGUGUGAGCGAGCGGUGCGCAAAGCGAUAGUGAAAAAGAAACGCGAG
rnacentral:lncRNA from 1 species